AGCAGCCGCGGUAAUUCCAGCUCCAAUAGCGUAUAUUAAAGUUGUUGCAGUUAAAAAGCUCGUAGUUGAAUUUCGGGGUUAGUAGGCUGGUCGUGCCACAGGUAUGCACUGGUCUUACUGAUUCCUCCUUCCUGAUGAACCGUAAUGCCAUUAAUUUGGUGUUGCGGGGAGUCUGGACUGUUACUUUGAAAAAAUUAGAGUGUUUAAAGCAGGCUAACGCUUGAAUACAUUAGCAUGGAAUAACGAAAUAGGACGUUCGAUCCUAUUUUGUUGGUUUCUAGGAUUGACGUAAUGAUUAAUAGGGAUAGUUGGGGGCAUUAGUAUUCAAUUGUCAGAGGUGAAAUUCUUGGAUUUAUUGAAGACUAACUACUGCGAAAGCAUUUGCCAAGGAUGUUUUCAUUAAUCAAGAACGAAAGUUAGGGGAUCGAAGACGAUCAGAUACCGUCGUAG
rnacentral:rRNA from 1 species